rnacentral:lncRNA from 1 species
UUGGAUGAAUAAGAUUCUUGAGUACCAAAGACGGGUAUAACUCUGCAUACGUCAUACGAAUAGGGUCAAAAGUGACCUUUUUCCUCUCAAAAUGUUGCUGAUGAUGAUUGUUAUUGUUGUUGUAGUUGAUUGUUUGUUGCAGUUGUUGCUGAUGUUAUUGUUGAAUUUGAACUGAUUGAUUAGUUAAAUUGUUGGAAAAAAACUGGAAUUACUGAUGAUACUUGGUAUUGAUGUUGACGAGAUUGAGAACUUUUCCUCACAUGAGGCCUCCUCUUCCUCCCAGCUGACACUGCAUUAGUCUUUCCUUCCUUCUUCUUAGGGAAACUCCCACCAUACUUCUUGUUGCUUGACGCUUCAUCUUUGGACAGACGUCCUUCAUGGACUCCUUCCUCUAAUUUCA